AACCUGCUGAUAGAAUUGUCAAACAUCACACUUAUAUUCUGGAACCAAUUACAGGAAAUGCAAAGUAUAUUCUGGAUGAUGUCAUUCUCUGUUUAUCAAAGGAUGGAUACAAGGAUAUGUUAAAACUAGCUGAUAACUUUUCUGCCUUUAAUCAACGCUUAAAAUAUGCGCAUUUUCGUCCACAUGUUUCCGUGAAAUCUGAUCCUCGUUCUUGGUGGAAGUAUGCUUAUAGAGCUGUAUCUGACAAAGUGAAGAAGGGAAGAUUGAUGUAGGCAUUGGAUCUUCAUCAUUUGCAAAAUCACAGGACCCAGAAUGACUCAUUGAUAGUGGAUGUUUGCCAGGGUCAAUAUAAGUCGACACUGGUUUGCCCAGCUUGUGGAAAGAUUUCAAUCACUUUUGAUCCCUUCAUGUAUUUGUCGUUGCCGCUACCUUCAACUGCAACUCGGCAAAUAACCGUGACUGUGUUUUACGGCGAUGGAAGUGGUCUUCCUAUGCUAUAUACUGUUAGUUUGCUAAAGC